GAGCCCAGAGGCUUUAGAUCGGAUCUUGGGGCUGGGAAAGCGGGUGCAGGGGCUGAGAGGAGCAAGUGGGUGCCUGGAUGUCCGAGCCUGACACCAGCUUUUCCCAACCCAGACCCAAAAGGAGAGGCCGCUGGAGGACCCACCCCUUGCAGGGAGGCGGCAGCCACCGCGUUCCGGCUUCCGCACCGCCGCCCCGGGGGUCAGUGCCGCCGCCCGUGAGCCCCUCUCCGGAGUAGCCAACAGCGCCCGCCCGGCCGCCGGCCGCAGGAGAAAGUAAACAACACCCCAGUUUCCUUCUAAGGGAAAUAAACACUAAAGGUAGGAUUCCAAGGAAAUGACUCACGGCGGUUGGCAGGGCUCUGGCGAGCCUGGCCCGGGCCCCGCGCUCUAGCCCGCAGCAGAUGCCUGCCCGGCCCUGCCUCCCUCGCGGGUCAAACCUACUCCGAGCCCGCGGCUGCGGGAGCGCCCUUCGCACCGAGAGGACAGGGACGUUUCUCCCUCCCCGCCUGCCAAGCGUCGCGGCGUCCAGACCAGGCGGCGUCCCUAGCACCGACCCCGUCCCCUAGGAUGAGGGACUACGCGGGGAUCUGAGGUCCCACCAGAGCUGCUGACCCCACCCGCCACUUGAGUCGACUACGUCCGCACGGGCGGCAGCCAGGGCGGCUCUAAAGGCGGCGGCGAUUCCCGCCGGGAUACAAGAGCAGCGGCGCACGGCCAGCCCCGGGAAAAGCCCGCGCCGCCUCCUUCCCGGCCCCCACACCGCCCCCGGUCCCGCGCGCUGCCAGUCCACUCGGUGACCCCGGUGCGGGGCAGCGGCCGGGAGGGCGCGCGGGAGGCCGCGUGAGUGCCAGUCCGCGCUAGCAUUCUUCCUGGGGGGCCGGCCUCCGCCUUCCACCCUCCCUGGCCCUCCCGCCCUGGAGGCCGGCUCCCAGCCCGGCUCUUACCGCGGGGUCAGCGGGGAAGCGGCGGCCGCAGCGCUCGAGCUGCUGCUUGUCCGCUCCGGGGUCGGCGCCAGCCGGGCCGCCGGUACACACGCGCGAGUCCCGGCCCGGCGACCCGAUCGGCGGUGGCCGCUGGGGCGCGGUGGGCGAGGGUCCCAGUAGGUCCCGCCGCCGCGUCUGGGGCGCUGCGCCGCCGUAGCUGCAGACGGUUAUGGUAAUGAGCGGCUCUGUCUAGCGAGGAGCGUGCGAAACCCGUCAAUCCUGUUUGCCAUUUCCCCGUGGAUUUCCGAGGAGAGGUUCUGCAGGAUGCCCCCGGGCAAGCGGAGAUGAGAAACAGAUGUCUUUGCAGGACCAAGCAGUUACUCUCCCCUCCGCGCCCGCCCCCGCCCGUUCCUCUCCUGAGCUACAUAUGUACAAAAAAGCAACCUUGGUCCUGCUGCAACUUGAAUUGGCAACUCUUUCGGGGGGGAGGGGGGCGGGAGCUCCAGGGAAAACCUCCAGGAAAUAAAAAGUAAUAGAGGAGGUUGUCCUUUGUCAAGAGAAAUGUAAUUUAAGCCCCAGAAUCACACUAUUUUGCGAAUAGUUGUUUUUCCCUAUAUUGGGUUCAAUUUGUUUCCUUUUUGAAACAUUAAUUCAUAACUUCUGUCUAGGGACCCCUCCAUAGUCGAGAUGGUUCAUUUCAGGUGUAAUGAACACAGAGGCAUGGAAGGCAUAGACCUAAUAAAAUCGGGGGAAGGCACCUGCACAAAAGUGUUACAAAAACUAUAAUGUUUGUUUACUGCUACUAUGCCAGAUGUGCUAAAUAUAACACUUCUUUAAAACAGUGAUCCUCCGACUGUGAAAAACCAAACCUUUUGCUGCCCCUGGCACCCUAGGAAUCAAGGAGAUGCACAGCCUGAAAAUCAGGGAGGAAAGGAACAAGAUCAAGGAUGAGGAUUAGCAUCUGCAAAUUGAACUCUAUCUAAUUUGCAUGUUUAUUUCUUAGAAUUGUAAUUAAAUUUGUGUAAUAAAUGUUUUCCAUUUCACUUGUACACUUAAAAUUUGGGUGACUACUUCAUUUGCACACUUAAAAUUUGGGUGACUGAUGCAGUUAAGUGAAUUUCUUUUUUUUUUUUAAAGCAAAUGUAGUUUAUUCAAUAAAGCAGCAAACAAAUAUUAAACAUAAUUAGAACUAAUCUGUUUUGAAGGUAUUUUUUUUGAACUUUGUACAUUAAAGACUCAGCGGCUUUAAGGGUAUUAGGAAGCUGAGAGAAUGCAAUUAUGCUAAAAGCAGACUAACCCAUAGAAUUUCAGGAGAAUUAUUUCAAAUAUUCCAAAAGACAUUCCAGUGUUGUGUGUCUGAAAUUGGGAAUUGGGCAUCCAUUUUGGCUUUAUUCUGAGUCACGUUAAACUGCAUUGGCUUAUGCAUGUUGUAGGCCAUU